CAGGCAAGAGCUCAGAUUUGAAAGGCACUUUUGUGCCGUUGUAUUCUGAAGUUAGGGUCCUGAGAAACGAUGCUUAAGUCUUCUGGAAAGGAGCGCCAUGGAGGGUGAUAGCCCCGUCUAGCAUUGACCUCAUAUAGGAUCUUAACAUGGAGUCGAGUUGUUUGGGAAUGCAGCUCAAAUGGGUGGUAUGCUCCAUCUAAAGCUAAAUAUCUGCGAGAGACCGAUAGUAAACAAGUACUGUGAGGGAAAGAUGAAAAGAACUUUGAAAAGAGAGUGAAAAAGUACGUGAAAUUGUUGAAAUGGAAGGGUAGGCCGCUAACCAUGUAGAGCCGUGUUUGGGGGGAAGAUAAAUGCUGUAGAAUGUAGCUCCUCGGAGUAUUAUAGAUGCAGUUCAUAUUCCCACCCGAGCGCGAGG
rnacentral:rRNA from 1 species